GAGAUAUGGCAGAGCGGUCGAUCGCGGCGGUCUUGAAAACCGUUAUACAGAAAUGUAUCGGGGGUUCGAAUCCCUCUGUCUCC
rnacentral:tRNA from 1 species